AUUAUUGUGUAUACCCCUCCUUUUUAUAUGGUGCUGACCACCUUUCUAUAUAUGUGGAUUUGUUCUGUCUUGAGGAGAGGGUUGGUAAGGUAUGUGCAUCUGUGGGGACUGCUGAUGGUUGUCCUCUAGUCAUUUAGAGGCUUAGCAGAAUUCUGUUCUUUUUGUGAAUUUUGUGAAUGUCUUAUGGAAUUGAAGUGAUGAAGUUUGUGAAUGACUUAUGGAUUCCUGAACUUUGAAAAAGAAUAAACCAAAAAAAAACUGAAAAACUUUACUCUGACUCUGAGCUUUUGGCCAUACCCAUGGAUAGACGGUUACCCGAGGCUUGGUCCGUCACAAUUGGUGGCAGCGGUGGGAUCGGCCAACAGAGGACAAGAGUGAGUGGAUUAUAAUUUUUUUUUUUUUUCAUAGUUUCCCUUCCCUGGUUGCUUCAUCUGUUUGUGGCUGUUGUUCUUUGGACAUCAUGGGGCCUAAAAAGCCACGAGUGGCAGCAGCAGAAGCCCUCGGAGGAGAAGAGACCGGCGUAGACCCAGAAUUGGCCCAGGUGUCUGAAGAUGGCUCCCUUCAGGAGCUCAGAGACAUGUUCCGGAAACAUCUCUCCAUUCAGCAGAACAGAGAUGAUUGGCAGGAGAAAGAGGUGGCACGGCAGGAGGCCCGGUGGAAGACAAUGCAACAUCAGUUUGGUUUACUACAACGCGAGGUGCAUGAGCGGACUACUCCAGAUCUUGAAGAGGAACCCAGUUUGGGCAGAAGUGAUAGAUUUGGGCUACCACCAGAGUCACAGCGGCUGAGCAGCCGAGUCCGUGGUCAGGUGGGAAUUGAGAGAGAGCCCCGUCUGCUCAGAUUGAACGAGACGGAUGACAUUGAGCAUUUUUUAAUAACCUUUGAGAGAAUAGCAGAGGCGUGUCAGUGGCCUACAACUGACUGGGCAGUCCGGUUAGUGGCUCUUCUGACGGGCAAAGCUAGGGCAGCAUAUGUGAACAUGGAUAGGGAAGAGUCAUUGGAUUAUGAAAAAGUGAAGGCGGCCAUACUGGACAAAUACAACAUUAAUCAAGAAACCUACAGGUUGCAAUUUAGGGCAACAGAGGUGAGAGAAGAUGAG
ensembl:lncRNA